UAUAUGAUGGUGGUCAAUAGGAGAAGGCUGGGGGAGUCUUACCAGCUUCUGUGCUGGAGAUGGGCAGUGUCAUGGCCCUGGGAUGUGGCUGCUCCUAGAGGAGAUGCUGUGUGCUGGGCUUCAUGGUCAUGGUGAAAAAGGAUCAAUCCUCUGGACUGCAGGUUGAGAAUCAAAUUGCCUGCGUGCCCUGAAGUCUGAGAAUCAAAUGAAGAAGUUUACUGCAUGGAGACUUCAAAUUUUAACUUGAACUAAGUCUAAAAAAUGACCAGAGAACUUUUUACUGUGGUUUAGGAUGGUGCAGAGAGAGUCCACCAAGAAGGGUGUACUACCAGUGCUGCAGGAGCCCUAAUAGACAGAAUGCACAUCUCCCACGGACACAACAGCAUGUGCUUCACUUAAGACCAAGAUGUGUAAAGCAU